UGCCUUUGUGUUGCCUGUUCAUAUUUCCUUUUAUGAAUGGAGUGUCAAAAAAGGCAGACAAAAAGUCCUUUUGCUGUGUUUAUCUUGAGCUUUGGGAAUAUACACCCUCUACUUUAUUCAUGGCAAAAGAAACACAU